AACUGGGAAAGGGAAUAACAUUUGAAAUAUAAAUAGGAAAUACCCAAUUUAAUAAAGAUGGGGGAAAGCUCAAGUGGGAUUCCCAAGUCCUUGUGUGUACUGUGUCACACAGUAUAUGGAUCUCAGGAAAAGAGCAAUCACAGUGGCAAUCUUAAAUGACAUUAGUCAAAACCGUGGACCAAGGUCCAUCAGGAAAGUCACUGUUGGUAAUCUGUCCUUUGAGAAGGCUUUAUAUCCAUAGCCUUCCUUCUUAUCUAAUCACUAGAAAACAAUAAAAUCAGUUCCAACAAAAGAUGUUCUGUAUUGCUGACUGAUAUUGACAAGGUCAAGGUCAUCUCUGACAAGGAAAGCAAGAGUCUUUAUCCCCUGGGAGACCCUGAGAUGGCAUUGACAGUAAAAUAUAGUUUGGUGUUCUGGGUUGGACCCAGGAACAGAUAAGGGAUAUUACAUAGUCACUGAAGAUAUCAGUUAAUAAUGUGCCAAUGCUGGUUAAUUAAUUUUGACAAAUGUACCACAAGAUAUGAAUAAUAGGUUAAUGAUCAUUUUUUCUGUAAAUCUAGAACUCCAAAAUAAAUUUCAAGCUAUAAACUACUCUAAAAUAAAAUUUUCAUUUAAGAAUGCAUUUAGUUCACUUACUCAUUUAAGUGACACCUCAGACACUGCUAACCCAUUUUUGUGUCCUACAAACGUGUAUUGGUGACCUGCUUUGGCCAAGUCUCAAGCUAGUGAAUGCUGCUUUAUAAUAAGGAAGACACAUAAAUACCCAGCCAGCUCUGAACCUAGCGCUGAUGUGCAAAAGACAGCAUUUUCUUUCGUUUUCUGAUCAUCUCUUUAAUUCACUUUUCCAUGCUCUUUCCUCCAAAACUUCUCUGAGAAGCUGAGCCAUAUGGAGUUCUUCAAUGAAUACUCAUGACCUUUGCCCUCCAGUUGGGCAUGGUCUAUAGAAAAGUCUCUAGGAUGUGUGUGUGGGUUGGGGGGGUUGGUUGGCUUAUUUGUUCUCACAUCUAACUCCUCUGGCUCACAGAAGGUUGGGGUCAUUCUCCUAGAAAGCCACAGUGUAUGUUAGCAGUACCCUCCAUUCAUCUACUUGUUCUGGGAUCCACUAGCAGCUCACUCCCCAAAGUCUGGUGUCCCUUAUCAGUCUGAAGCACAGCUCUGCUCAGCACCCUGGGGAGAGUUUAUCACUGUCUCCCUAGCAACCUCACCAUUACCCUGGACAGCAGGCAGAUAGGUGCGUCCCCCAGUGGGCCUUCAAUAUUUGCUAAAUGAAUGAGUCAGCCAACGAACUUCAGAGAAUUCAAAUUAUAAGACCCUUAUAACAGUGUUGCUAAGUUGUGAGAGCAGUGGACUGCCAGGGUUAGGCUCACAUUGUGGGUCUUUCAACUUCCCGGGUGAGUUUAAGGGAUUUUAGUUCUCUGAGACUUAGUUGCUUAAAAGUGCAACUUAAAAGUCUUUAAAGUGCAGAUAGGGAUAUCUUCUUUCCUUGGUUGAAUAAAUGCAAACAGUCUCCAGAAAGUGCUUAGCACCUGUGGGACAAAAGAACAGUGCUUAUCAGUUUUAUACAGCUCAGUCAUAGAUAAAAUUUGCAUGUCUUUUACAAAAGAUAAGUGAAUAAGAUCAUAAAUAAAUAGUUAAUGAGCAAACAAUUGGUUUAGUGUAUGUGAGGCAAGGAUCCAAAAGAAAAUUGUUGGCAAAACUUAUUCAACCUUGCUGGUUAGUCAAGAAAGUGGAACUAGAAGAACAGGAGGCAUGUCUUUCCUCCAAAACAAGAAGACAUUUUCUGAUAGUAUUUAAAGCUGCUAUAACACUGCCCUUUUUUAAAAAAAUCAACUUGGAAUUUAUCAAGCAAAGAUUACAGCAUAGUUUUUAACAUGGGCAUUAUUGUGAGAGAGAAUUGCUUAAGGAAUGAAUGGCACAUACCUCAUAUAGUUGUGAGCUUCUCAAGAAGCAGCUACCAACAAUGCUUUCUUUUUUAAUGUACACCAUUUUGUUUGUUUGUUUGUGGUAUAUGUGUGUGUGGUGCAUGUGAGUAUAUACAAGUAUACUAUGCAUGCACAUGUGGAUGUCAAAUGCAAGCUUUCUCUCUAUAUUACUCUCUACUUUAUUGUCUUAAGUCAGGUUGUCUCUCAGAACUGGAAGCCUACUGUUUGGGCUAUGUUGGCUAGCCAGAGGGCUGUUAGGAUCCAAGUUCCUCUUCCCCACAGUGCUGGGGUUAGAAGUACAUGAAGUCAUACCAAGCUUUUGUUUCGGUUUUUUUGAGACAGGACUUGGAUCCCUCUGUGUAGCCCUGGCUAUCCUGGAAUUGUCUAUGUAGACUAGGGUAGCCUCAAAUUUACAGAGAUCCAUGUACCUCUGCCUCCUAAAUGCUGGGAUUAAAGAAGUGUGUCACUACUCCUGGCAUUGCCAGCUUUUUAUCUGAGUGCUGGAGAUGUCACAUCCUAUUCUGAUGUUUGUAGAUCAAGAACUCUAUGCACUUAGCAUCUCCUUAGUUUCUUGAUAUCUUUCUUUAAAGAAAGAAAAAUUUUGAGUAGCUAAGAGUAUAGAUCAAUGAUAGAUCAUCUGUUUAGUAUGCAUGGAGCCCUGUGUUCAAUACACACACACACACACACACACACACACACACACACACACACACACACACACACACACACACUGACUACCAUAAACAUUUGAUAUAAGCUAAUUUUGCUUUAUUUAUAUAUAAGUUUUGUUGUUAGGCUUGUAAAUAAAGAACAUGAGUUUAAAUGUUACAACAUAGUAAUGGUAAUAGUAAUAGUAGCAAUAUUAACAACAACAAUAAAGCUACAAAUGGCAUAAUAAAUUAGGGACAGUAAUUUGAGGUCCUUAGAUAUAGAAUAUAAUAGAAUGUAAAAUUCUAUUUCCUUGUACCCGUGCCUUUAGUAGUAGCUAGGUGAAUCUGGCCUGUGGACUGUUGCAUGUUAACCCUGUUCUAGGUAGUGGGGACUACCAGUGUCAGCACUAAGCUGGAGCUUUGGAGGAGGGAAACCAGAAUUAGAGAGUGACAAGAAGUGUCCUGGGAGAUGCAUGAAAUCAAGUCAGGUCCCCUAGCAAAAGCCUUGGAUGGAACCAAAUCCCAGACUAAGGUUGUUUGCCAUAUCUCAGAAGGUUGUUCAUGGUAGAAAUGCUCUGGCGUUGUUGAGCAGAAGACUAGAAGGAGCUCUAAAGAUCUUUCCCUGCAUCCCUCCUGGGGUUCAGUGAUGUGUGGAAGAAAUUGGAUGCCUUGCCACCUACCUUUGGGCUUCUUCCUUUCAUUUUUACCCUUCCCACUGUCUUUGCUGAUUGUAGAACUGUACAGAACCUUAGUCAUCACUGGGCAAGCAGAGUAUGUUUGUUUAUUUCAUAUGAAAAGCAAUUAUGGUCCAAGCUUAUAGGCCAGCUCUCUCUGUGCUGUCAUGAAGACAGGAAAGAAGGAGGUAAGAAGGAUAUCAAUGGGUACCAAAGGAGAAGAGUUCCUGCAAGGACUGCUACCAGAAGUUUGUUAGCUAUAGCUUACCUGGCCUAGUAUCCUACACUGGUUGCAUUUCACUCCCUCAAAGCUCCAAGUGGUUCAGAUUCUGUCUGGUUGGAGAACUUAAAGCCUUGCUGCUGCUCAAGUAUGGCUUGUGGCCUGGAAACAUCAGUACCAUCAAGGAGUUUGUUGGAAACAGGAUCUCCCAGUCAGCCAGGACCUGCUGGAUCAGUACUGUCAUUUUAAAAAGACCCCUGGGGGAUUUUUAUGCACCUUCUACUUUGAGACACGUGGGGCUUGAAUUGCUGAUUAGACAGUGUAUUGACCUCUUAAACAAAGCUCCAGGCUCAAAGAAACUUCAGCAGCUCAGAGUCACCAUCUAUUCUGACAUUGAGAGUCCAGUCAGACAGGUUCUCUGUGAAGAAAUGGGUCCUCAGCCUGAGGCAGCAAAGAAAUCCUGGAGAGAGACACAGCCAGACCACAGCUAAAGGGCAAUACUAGUAAGCCCCAGGCACUCCUCACAAAGGCACGGACCCUUCUGUGCCCUCUUUCCAGGCUUCCUGCUCUAGAUAGUCACAUUAGGAAUUGUAAACUCUCACAGUUCUUAUCUCCCUGCCUCCCACCCCCUGUCUCCCUAGCUUUUAGAUCUAACAACAAAAAUUUCAGUCUCCCAGCUUCUGGUUUCUUAGCCCCUGGAGCAGAGCCCCUGGUGUACAAUUGGUCUAGAAAAUUCUACUGGGAAGGCCUUACCUGCUGAGAUCCACCUUAGCAUUGUCUUCUGACAAUGGUAUGGGCUUGUUGGAGGUGUGUUGUACAGACUAAACAAGGCCAAGUCAGUCAGUCUCUCUCUCUCUCUCUCUCUCUCUCUCUCUCUCUCUCUCUCUCUCUCUCCCUUUCCCCCACUUUUCUAUCAAGUGGUUGUGGAUCAGAUGUAAGCUCCCAGCUAUGCCUCCAGCACCAUGCCUGCAACUAUCCUUCCAACUAUGAUUGUGGACUCACCCUUUAAAACUGUAAGCAAGCCUUUAAUUAAAUGUGUACCUUUCUAAGAUGCUUUGGUUAUGGUGUCUCUUCAUAGCAAUAGAACUGUAAUUAAGACCCUACCUCACAUUGAUUUAAAUAACUUGAGUGAACCAUUUUGGGAGUCUGAUCAGUAUAACUGGAGAUGGCGUUACACCAUGGGAGGGAGAUGUCACCCCAACUCUCAAUGGUACCAAUAGGGUAAGGCUCACCAGAAUCAAGCAUUGGAUUACAACACACACCACCAUGUGUCCAAAGGAGACAUGAAUAUGAAUAUGUGAUGCUGGAGGCUUUCCCAAGUAUCAGUUAGCCACAGGAAAAGAAAGGAACACUCAUACAGGCAGAGGUGAGCAAAAGCUGAAGCGCUUUGGUGUGCACAGUACAAUAUAGCAAGAUUCCCUUACAAAUGAGAAGCAGGGUCCACUGAGUUCCUCCCAGCUUUAAAGCUGUGAGGCUACAAACAGCUCCUGCUAUUUAGUAAGUAUUUAGUAAGAAUCUCUAGUAUAUCUCGGGUACUAAGUUACCAUACAGGGCUCUAUUAUUUGUGCAAAUGGAAGCAUUCAGACAAGUUACAGCCAUCUGUGGUACCUGGUGUUUCUAGUUUUCCCAGCAAGGUUCAGUUUGUCUAGUGGGGGUCUCCAUCUAGGUGGACAGUCCACUGCUCCAGGGCUCAGACUUCUCUAGUACAUACUUGCUCACUCCUCCCAUAGGCCAAUCACUUGGCUGGGCAGUAGCAGCAUAGGUCAAGAAGAUCCAGAUACCUUGCACUCUCUGGGGAGGUGGGAGAAAGAGGGGGAGAGGGAGAGAGAAAGAGAGUUUGUGUGGGGUGGGGCAGUUAGCUGGUGGUAAAUGUAUUAAUUAGGAAGACGAAAUAUUGGCCCUUUCCUUGGGACCUCAUUUUCACCUUUUGACUUGACUGUAAUUGGCCCUGAGGGUGUAACUGGGUGGGGGUUGGGAUAGAAUCUACAGAUGAUGCCAGCUCAGACAUUCAGAAAAGUCAACAUGCAGAUUUCCUAGGCAUGCGUAGCCUGGAAGCAGAUCCUGAAACCAAGAGUGAGGAAGCUGACCACACACUAGAGGUCUUGAGCAGGAUGUGAAAAUCCCAGCCCUGGGCCACAGGAAGUUUGGCUGACACAGGGCACAGUCACUUUGUGGGUAAAAGGCAAUGGGAUAUUAUUGGUCAAAAGGGCCUGAGUAGAGUCUUAGAGUCCCUGUGACAACGAUGGUGACCUGGGUUUUAGGCAACAAGGAAUUCCUAGGCUGAUCCUUGAGGUAGGGAUAGAAGAGGAUCGUUAUGAGGCUUAAUGGCAGGAAAGGAGAAUUGAGGGGAGUGGCAUGCAAGGCUGUGGUUCAAGGAUUUACUCUAAGCCUCUCUCUCUCUCAGAGACAGAGACAGACAGAGAGACACUAGGGUCAAUGCUUGCUCUUACUGGGCUUGGCUGUGCAAUGGUCUCUGCUACAUUGAGGCACCCAGCAAUAAACCGGAGGAGCAGGUCUGUCUCCACUCUCCAGAGCUCGAAGCUGCCUUUCCUGUUGCUGCCAGGAUGACGGACUUGGCAGCCCAGGUGUGGCUGAGUCAGCAGGUCCCAAGGUGUGAGUGGCCUGGAUAUAGGGAGAGACCGAGUGCCAGAUUGAAGAGCCGGUUCCUUUGUGCAGCAGUCACUGUCUUUCCCUCUCUGACGGGUCCAAACUGCCAGUUCUUGAACAUGUUGCAACAAAGAAUGUAAAAUAAUAUUUAUUAAACUGAUCCCCAUCUAACUUUAAGUAAGUGAGACUCAAACUAUGAUAUUUUAUUAGGCUUGGCAUAAUUACAGGGGGAUUACCCCUUAUCAAAAUCUCUUAAUGCUAGUCUAUCGACUGGCUCAACUCUGCUCCUCAAAUAUUUGCUGUUUGAAUUUCUCUGGGUCAUUUCUGCUCCAGCAGUCUGGAAGGCGUAUCACUCUGGCACAUGCUGUUGGUACAUCAUGACUUCUGGAGACCUCCUGUUCUCCCAUCUUUGUCUUCUCUGUGCUCCCCUGCCUCCUCCUUGGUGCCUACAUAAGACUCCCACUGGAUAACUUGAACUCCACUUCUCUGUAUUCCCUACAGUAAUUGGAUGACACCAGUUUUAUUUAACUGAUAGUUUUAAACUGGAGAGCAAGGUUUACAUAGCAUCACUUGGUGUAUAUAAGGAUCUGCUCAUCUGGGGCCAACUAGAUCUUGGGAGCCAUUUAAAUUGAAGCAGUACCAGAUGAACCCCUUCAAAACAACACAGACUUUUGAGCUUGACCGUCUCAGCUUACCUGGGACUGACUUGGUUUUUAUCACCUUCCCUGGAAACCUCUGUAGAAUAAAAUGAUGAGGUUCAAGGACUGAGAUCCUUGACAAGAGUAGAGUGGCCAUGUGCAAAGUGAACUAGUGAUGGUGCCAAGAUGAAGCCCUAGGGCUCCAUCAUCCCUGCUAAUGAGGCCAAGUUGGUGUUUAUGUCUAGCUCUUCUGAAGGGCCACAUGGCUGGGCAUUUCGGAAGCAAUUAAUUAGUGGCAUCUCUGACCUAAAUACCUCCAAUUCUGGUUCAUUAGUCAUUUUCAUCUAUGAGGAAAUACAUUUAAGGUAAACAAUAAGAUUAAAUAGUGCAGGCAGGGUACAGUGGAUCAUAUCUGUAAACUCAGCCUCAAGGGAGGCUAAGGCAGACAGAUUGUGAGUUUCAAGCCAGCCUAGGCUAAGCAGUGAGACCCUGUAUAAAUGAAUAAUACAAAAAAAACAAAUAAUAGAACCCUAUAUGGGACUCUUACUAAAUACUAAAUAGCACAUUAAGAAUCAGGGCAGUCUUUGCAGAAACAAGGAGCCAAAGGGGCAGAAUGAAAUAGGUGGGACUUGUAAUUUUGAAAUCCAUUAAUUCAAAACAAGAGGAAUAGGUAGCAUAGGGAGUCUGGUUUCCAGCAACCCAACAGGAAACCUUCAGAUAAGUCACAGCCAUCUGUGGUACCUGGUAUUGCUAUCUUUCCCAGCAAGGUUCAAUUUGGGGAGGGGGAUCUCCAUCCAGAUGGACAGGCCACUGCUCCAGGGCUCAAGCUUCUCUACUACAAGCUUGCAUACUCCUCCAAUAGGCCAGUCACCUAGCUGGGCCAUAGCAGCACAGGUCAAGAGGAUCUGGACAUUCAUACAUGGGUGGGGGUAAGAUUUGUUCUGCACAUAGAUAUGUGUACACACACAAUCUCUUCCAUCCUCCCUCUGCCUGUGCAAAAGGUUAAAUGUCAGUGGCGAGGCCUCCUGAAAGCUGUGGUAUAAUCUGAAAGCUGUAAACCAGGUCCUGUAGAGCAGCCAGAAGGAUGCCAUAGCCUGGAUGGCAUGGGCCCAUCCUGUGGCUCCUCCUUUAGUUCUGUGCACCUGCUUCCUUGCUCACCUGCAGGCUCUGGGCCUGUCUCCAGAUAUGAAUGCUGAAUGCCACUGGCAUGUGUGUGCUCCACUUGGAUUUCAGCCCCUCCUGUGCUGGCAGCUGACUCCUUUUACUCACUUUCAACUCCACCCUCUCCUGCCCUCCUGACUUUGAUGCCUACCAACUCGUUAAAUGUUUAUAUGCAAUACUUCCUCUGUGCAGGCAAUUGGCUAGGUGCUGGGAUUCUUGGUAAACAAGGCAAGGGUCUAUAAACACUCAUUAUGGAGGAAGAGGAGACAAUAACCAGUCAAUUAUGUACAAUGUGAUAAGUGCCUGGGUGGCAUAAGUGGCUGUAAGGGUUACGUAGAGAUUAAAGGUGGCAGACUAGCAGGGAGGCUGCAGCUCUGCUUCUCAGUUGUAGGUUGUGCCACGAAUUACAGCUUCAACUCCUUGCCCAUAUAGUACCAUCCGUCCACCUAUCCAUCCAUUUUCUCCUUCAGCAAACUAUUGGAACCCUUACUGAAUGUCAGGCAUGUUGUCCUGGCAUUAUGUCCUGGAAUUAUGAUGCAAAGGAUAGGCUCCUCUGUUAUACCAAACUUUUGAUUUCUUCUUAUCAAACAACAAUGCUUCUUCCUAUCUGACAACAUCCAUACUUACUGGUUCCUUUAGUUAGCUUAGCCCUAUCCACCUAGGUUAGGUUAUUUCCUUCAUCUUUUAACCUUCCUCAAAGGUCAUCUCUUUAGGAAAGCUUCCCUGGCCUCUUCACCAAUGCCGGGCCUCAUUGUGAUGCUUUCAUAGCACCCUGUAAUUUUCUUUCAUAGCAUCUUUGAUUAUGUAUUUAUUAGGGGAACUGCUUUACAAGUGUCCGUCAUGUCUGCCAGGGACUCAUUUAUUAUAGUAUUUAUGCUGUCUAGCACAGAGCGAUGUAUUCAGUAGCGUAAGUUGAAGUAGUAGAUGAAUGGGUGGACGGUGUUGUUGGGUGGAUGGGUGGGUGGUUUGCUGACUGACUGGCUGGUUGGCUGUGGAGAUAGCUGGUUGGGUGGAUAGAUGAAUGGGUGGAUGUAUGGAUGGAGAGAUGAAGGAUGUUUACACUAGAGCAAAGUCAGAAUGAAGGCCAGGUAAAAACUGAUCUGGUAUCAAGGUAGAGCUAGUUGAGGAUUAGGGAAUAGGCCACAGUGGAAAAGAGAGAAAGCCAAGGAAAGAUUAGUAGGAGACAGUCUGCCCAAUUUGGUCUGUGGUUGCAGGAUGUGGCCUGCUUCAGGAGUGAAACAGAGAAAGGAAUGAGUGACAGGUGUCAAUCAGGAUUCUUGCUGAUGGCUAGAAGACUGAAAAUAAGAGAGUAAUCUGAAGGCAUAGCAUAAAAAAAAGAUGACCCUGUGAAUUUGAAGUCUCUGUUGGAGCAAAAGAGUGAAAUUUUAAUUGUUUUUGUUUUUGUUUGUGGACCACAUCAUGGUCUAAUUGUAGGUGUUUGGAAUUAGCACAACAAUCUCUAACAUGAUGGUCCCUGAUUCCUUGCAUCUGUUGUUAUUACCGCAGCACUGUAGCCCAGAAAAGCAUCUAGCAUUGAACCCCUUCCGUAAACUGAUGUGUCAGUGCUUAUAUCUUACCAUAAGGCUGAACAUACGAGACUCAGAUUUCCUGAACUCCAAGGCUUGGGUGCCUGGCUACACCUGUGUCAUUUAGUUGCUUUUCCUUCUGACUUUGGUUUGGAAACAAAUGACAUAAAGAAUAGGGGCUGGGGAUUUAGCUCAGUGGUAGAGCGCUUACCUAGGAAGCUCAAGGCCCUGGGUUCGGUCCCCAGCUCCGAAAAAAAAAAAAAAACCAAAAAAAAAAAAAAAAAGAAUCAAGAGGGUCUGCAAAUCCAAUCAGCUGAGGGAGGCAGUGGCAAUGUCCUCCACGGCAAGUAGAGAUUAGAGUGACAGCUGCAUGGGCUGAAGCAUAUCUUGUCAGUAAUAUCAAUAGCCCAGAUUCUACACUCUUGUCCACUGGUCUCAGCUCUGUGCAGUGCUCUUUUACAUUGUUCUCUGCUGUUCCUGAGUGUUUCUCAUAUUCUGUGAACUACUUUAAUAUAUAACAAACAAACAAACAUCAAAGAGCAAUAAAAGAAUGACCCUUUUUAGGGUUGGGGAUUUAGCUCAGUGGUAGAGCGCUUGCCUAGCAAGCGCAAGGCCCUGGGUUCGGUCCCCAGCUCCGAAAAAAAGAACCAAAAAAAAAAAAAAAAAAAAAGAAUGAUCCUUUUUUUCCUGCACAAACUCAUCAGCAAUAUCUUUUGUUGCUUUUAGCUAAGCACUUGCUCCUAUAUAAACCUCCAAGUAUAGAUCAGAUCCUACUUGGAUUGACAGGAACAGGGCUUAGGACAUCUAGGCCACAGAGAUCAUGGAGGAGGCUAAUACCAGGGGAGGGUAUUGUUUUGCAAGUUUUUAUCUUUCAAGGCAGGAGGCAAGGCAGUUAGGGAGGAACUUUCCACAAGGAGCAAGCGUGCUAUACAUAGACCUCUAGUUCCAGCCAGUGGAGGUCCUUGUCUUGUUCAGAGUUUGCUGUUUGGGAAACCAACUCAUGUCCAACAAGUAAGUCCCUUGCUUCUUUAAGUCCCAUUCUUCUUGGGCUACUGUCCUGUUGCUUCUUCAAUGCACUGGCCUUGUCUUCUUAAGGCUGGUGCAGAUGACCUCUGACAUUAGGAUAAUAAUUACAACAUCUACCUGUUAAGAGUAAUGUCAAGUAUAUGCCAUCAGUGACACCCUCCUUACUAAUCAAUGCCCUUCUGAUGCAAUCAACCUUUUGUAAUUGUAACAGACAUUUCUACCAAACAAUUUUUUUAGUGAACUUGGAAUCCUUCUCAACCCAGUUUGCAAACAAUCCUGGAUAACUUCAUCACAAUUAACUCAUGAGGUGUUGCUCUAUUCUUGAUAGAUCAUGAGUUAGCUCAUGAAGUGUAUCCUGCUAACUAGCUUAGGCCAAAUGACUUUAGAUUUACCCAACUUUUUAUUUUGUGCUUGUGAUAUCAAAGAUUCAUCCCAAGGUCUUAUACAUUCUAACAAGCCUCUAUCAUUGACUUAUAUACAUCUCCAGAUUUCUUUCUACUUUUAUAAGAUUAAAUAACUUUUUAAAAAUUAAAGUAUAAUUACACCAUUUUCUCCCUUUUCCCUUUUUUGCAUCUUAAUUUGAUCAAACUUUUACUAAGAUACCUGGAUUGGCCUUGAACUCACUCAAUAGAGCUUAACCUGUGUCCUUUCUUUGCUUUUUGUUUCUGUGAUUAACAUCAUGACCAAGAAUAACUUGGGGAGGAAUUGGGAGUUUAUUUCAUACUGCACAUUACAGUCCAUCACUGAAAACAGUCAGGGAAGGAAUGCCAGAGGGAUGGAACUGGAAACAGAAACCACAAAGGAACACUGCUCACUGGCUUGCUCUAAGGCUUAUGUUCAAGUACUUUUCUUAUAUAGACUAGACCCACCCAUCUAUGGAUGAUGAUGCCCACAGUGGACUGGACUCUACUGUAUCAAUUUGCAAUCAAGAAAAUGCCUCAUGGAUAUGCCCACAGGCCAGUCUGAUGGAGACAAUCCCUCAACUGAAGUUCCUUCUUCCCAGGCAUGUCCAGUAGACCACCAAGAUUAGCUAUCACAAUUUAGAAUCCUCCUACCCAGCUUACUUGAUAGCUAGAACUCCAGGUUUGUGUGACAGAUCCAGCUUAUACAAAAUUUCAAUGUAUGUUGCCUUUACUUUUCUUGCUAAUUUUAUGAAAUUUAGUCUUUCCUUAGUAUCCUUAGGUGCCAGGGUUUGAGAUCCCUAAAAUUGGCUGAAUCUGUAGAUGUUCAGUCCCUUAUAUAAAAUUGCAUGGUUUCUGCAUUUGGCCUAUGCACAUCCUCCUAUAUUCUGUUGUUACAUAUGAUAACUGUGAUACUAUAUGUGAUGUACAUUUUUAAAAAUAGGUUGUUAUGAUGUAAUUGAGAGAAGAAUGGUAAAAUAAGAAACCCAUACACGUUUGCAGACAUGACCUUGCUAUGUAACCAGUUUGGCCACUCACAGCCAUCUUCUUGCCUUACCCUCCUCAGUGCUGGGAUUAUAGGCAUGUAUUAUCGUAUCAGACUUAUUCAUUAUUUUCUAAUAUUUAAGUCUGAGAUUGAUUAAAUCACAGAUGUGGAAUGCACAGACAUGGAAGGUCGACUGACUUGUUUGAUAGCAGGAUCGCUUUAGCAAUGAGAAAACUAAAAUCUCCAGGAGUUAAGUAAAUUAGUUGAUCAACAUUACCUAUAUACAUUACCAUGGUCAGGACUUGAACUCAUGGCUCUUUGUUAUAAGUCCAAAGUCUUUGUUUCUUGUCAAUAAGAUCUUAUUUACCCAUGUGUCUUAAAGAUUAUAAGAAGUACUUAAUGAAUUUCAAGGAAGAGAAAAAAAUCAGACUAGUUGCUAAAUCUCCUGAGCUGGCCUGCAUGAGAUUAAGGGUUCUGUAGCUGAGAACUGUGGCACUCUAGGUAAAGUAGACCAUUAGUGAUUCUGUAGCUGAGAACUGUGGUACUCUAGGUAAAGUAGAUAGAUCUUGAGAUCUUGUUGAAGUUAGCACAAACAUUUUGUCCCAUAGCUUAAGAAGCCAUAGUGUAUGCCAAUAGUGAAGUAAGCAGAGCAACCUUUCACUUUCUCUACAGAGGUCCUUGAGCCUCUGAAAACUUAGAUCAUGGCAAGCAGGGUCAUGGAGUUUUGUUUUAUGGGUUUUUUUUUUUGUCAAGGGUAAUUUUGAUAAUUUAAAGAAAAAUCCAAGGGCAAGAAAGCUGUAGAUCACAGCAGCUGCUCAGAGGAGGAAAAUGGACUCUAGAAGAAAAAGAAAACUCAUUCCUGUGCUCAGGUACAAAUGGGACAUUUAUGCCCACUCCCAAUCUCCCACUAAGGCUUAGGAACUAUUUUAUAAGGGGGGAACAGAAAGAUAUAAUAGCCAGAGGUCAGGGAGGACCAGAGUGAAAGUGGCUUUGAACAUGUCAGGACUUCUGCGAUUGCCUGCAUUAAACCCCUUUAGCACUUUAGAUCCUGAUCCCAGACCCCUAGCCAUCAACUUUCAGUAGUUCUUUCAGGGUGUGGUCAUCGGUAGGUCAAUCACCUUCCAGUGAACAGGCUCACACUCCUGAUGAGUGUAUGGGCAACACAAAUUGAACUAGGGUGGUUGAAUAGCCAGAACUUGUGUGGCAUGUCCUGAGCAGGCCUUGAACUUGUUGAGCCAGUCCAUCAGCAGGGUGCCUGCUGGUGGGAGACAAAAACCUACAAAGCCUUUGUUAUAAGCUGUCAGGCUUUUGUUGGAAGCUAGACAUCUUGGAAAACGACCAUCUUUAUGACCUAGCCAUAGACCCAAUUCCAUAUCUGUCUGCCUACCAGGGAAUCUGUCUAACUUCUACCAUCUCAGUGGGAAAAUGGGAAAAUGGUCUAUAACUACUGCUUAAAGGAGUUGAGGGAAGAGUUGGAGGUGAAUAUGAUCAAAAUACAUUGUAUGAAUUUCUCUGAGAAUUAAUAAAAUAUUAUAUUAAGGAAGGCAAGCAAAAGAAAGAAAUAAUGACAUGCUGAAUUAAAGCACAUGGUAGAUAAACAUCACAGGGUAGAGAAGGGGGCUUCAAAGAGCCAGUAACUUAGCCCCAGAUACCAGAGAAAGCAUGCUUAGAACAAAGAUGGAAGAAAAAGAAAUAUUACUUUUCUGAGUAAAACAGAAAAGUGGACAUAUUUAUGAAGCCUCUUGGCUGGGCUACUGUAAGCUAUUGCUAUAGUCGCAGAAUCUUCUAAACAAAAAAUUUCAACAAUUCACAAUGUUUGAAAAACAAACAAACAGGUGCCAGUGAUGGUGAUAGUGGUGGUGGCAGCAGCAGCAAAUGCCUUUAAUCCCAGCCCUUAGAAGGCAGAGGCAGAUGGAUCUCCGAGUUUGAGGCCAGCUUGGUCUAUAGCUUGGAGACAAGACAGCCAGGACUACAUAGAGAUAUUGUGUCUUGAAAAACAAAAUAUAUUAAUAAUUAACACAAAUAAAAAUAAACAAAAACAAACUAGCAUAAACGUGCUAGGUGUGGUGGUGUAUGCUUUUAAUUUUAGCACUUGGGAGGCAGAGGCAGAGGCAGAGGCAGAGAGGCAGAGAGAGGCAGAGAGGCAGAGAGGCAGAGAGAGGCAGAGGCAGAGAGAGGCAGAGGCAGAGGCAGAGAGAGGCAGAGGCAGAGGCAGAGGCAGAGGCAGAGGCAGAGGCAGAGGCAGAGGCAGAGGCAGAGGCAGAGGCAGAGGCAGAGGCAGAGGCAGAGGCAGAGGCAGAGGCAGAGGGAGGCAGAGAGGCAGAGGCAGGCAGAGCUCUGUGAGUUCCAGGCCAACCUGGAACCAAUUCCAGGCCAGCCAGGCCUAUGUAGUGAGACCCUGUCUCAAAAAACAAAAACAAAAAUCAUAAACAUGCUCUGGUUGUUGAAGGACCAGUAAAAAUAGAAUACAUGUAGAUUGGUAUCGUCUAUUCUAAGAAGUGGUAGUUACAAAUGCUAUUUUUCAGAUUCCUGUAUGGCUAGAGAAGAUAUGAGUUGUUUUCCUUAAAUUGUGUGUGUGUGUGUGUGUGUGUGUGUGUGUGUGUGUGUGUUUAUUUUGUAACAGUGAAUUUGAUAAAGUGAAAGAUAGUAGGGCUAUAUAAAAUUGGAGGUUGCCAGUGGCAGCCUGAUUUAAGAGAUGGCUUCCAGUAGGUGACAGGGGUGGCUGCUUCCUGCUUCUGAAGCUUCCUGAUCACAAAGAAGCAAGAGAUGCCUUUAAUACAUAGGUCUCUGUUGUGGUUUUGAGAGUCCUUCGGGGAGGCUCCUGCCAGUGUUUGCUUUCUUUGUGCCCUCAAUGAUUCUAUGAUCUGUCUUUAACCCUUAAUAGACACCUUUCUGUUUAUACUAGCUGGGGCAGAUCCUGUGGUCUGUAGCUGAGAAUUCUGACUAAUACCUCAUGUCUGUAGAUGGGCUCUUCCUGGUUACUCAUAUCAUAGUAGAAGUUGGCUUGCUGCCCUCUACUGGGAUCAGAAUAUACCACUAUCUGGUGCUAGAGCAUUUCUCACUCUUGUCUGAUACAUGCAGAAGUCCAGCUGCUGGAGCUAACUGGAUCUUAUAGGUGGGUGCUGCUCCUAAUAACCCUUGAAUAAGGAAAAAGGAGACAACAGCUGUCCACUUUGCUACUGGAAAGUAGAGAGUUGUGUUUGAUCAUCUCUUUUACUAUUCUUGACCCAAUGGCCAUUUUCUCUGAUUCCAAGUUCUUUGGUUGAGUAUAAUAGAAUACAGUGUGUGUGUGUGUGUGUGUGUGUGUGUGUGUGUGUGUGUGUGUGUGUGUGUGUGUGUCUGUGCAGUCAUACAUGAUUACAUUCUUGGGGAAUGUUACAGCUUAAACAUUGAGCAGAGCCUCACCCCUUGUUUUUAGUCUUUUUUUAAAUUUCUGCAUUUUGAUAGACAUCUUGAAGCUUUGCUGGGUCUGAAGCUACUGCUCUUUUAGAGUUAUAUAAAUACAAGCUAUCCAAUCUAGAACCUAGACCUUUUUUUUCCUGGCCUUUUCUAUUUAUUGUCAUAAUCACUCCCAGACCAGGUACUUAUGGUAGGAUCCAAUAUAAGAGCAGAAAAAUUAGAACCACAAUUGAAGAAUUUCUGUAGACUCUGAGUAGGUAGGUCUAAUGACUUUUUUUUUUCAGAGCUGAGGACCGAACCCAGGGCCUUGUGCUUCCUAGGUAAGUGCUCUACCACUGAGCUAAAUCCCCAGCCCAAUGACUAACACUGUUAGAUUCAAUCACAGCAGAUCCCCAUACUCUUAGAUAUUUGUCCAACUUGGUUAAAAACUAUGUCAACACAAAAUUCUUCACAAUUGGGCUGGGGUAUAAUAGGUUGCUUGCCCACCAUUUGUAAGGGUAUGACUUUGAUGUCCAGCAUCAGGAAAAAAGAAAACAAGUCUCUAAACAAUAAUAAAUCAUGAAAAUCUGCACAUAAAUAUUUGAAGCUUUAUUCAUACUGCCAUAACUUUGAAACAACCAAGAUAACUUUGAAUAAAAGUUAUGGUUCAUUGUCAUUUUCUGUUUGGUGGCUAGUAGAAUCACCUAGGAGACAUAGCCCUGAGCCUUCCACGAAGGUGUUCCCAGGGAGCUUUGACUAAGGAAGGAAUACACACUCUGAAUAUGGACAGUUCCUUUUCAUGGGCUCAGUUUCCAGACUGAAUUAUGAGGAGAAAAUAUCAGGAGAUCUACCUUCCCAUCUCUUUGCUUCCAUACUGCAGACAAUGUAACCAGCUACUUAGUACUCCUGCCAUCGGGCCUUUCCCACUUCCAUGCACUUUAUCCUUAAGAGGAGAGCCAACACAAACCCUCCUUUAAGUUGCUUUUGUGAGGUAUUUUGUCACAGCAACAGGAAUAAGUAAUACAGAGGUAGGUAAGUGCAGUAGUAAAUGGAUGAACGAUAACCACAGCACGUCUAGAUAAAUUGACACGUCAGCGGUUAAAAAAAAGUUCUAUCAGCUGAUGAAAAGAUGAGGCACCUUAACUAUGACUAAUUGAAAGAAUCCAUUUUGCAUACUGUGCAGGUUGCUCAAUUUCAACUCUAAUGAACCUUGAGAAGGCAAACCAUGUAUCAAUGGCUGCUGGGGGGUGUGGGAUUGUAAGGGCUGAAUAGAGAAGGAUGAGAGAAUGAAGUACAGAGGGAUUUUAGAGCAGGAAAAACACUCUGAGUGGUGUCAUAAUGAUCUAGGUACAAACCCAUGAAAUGUCCAAUACCAGGACUUGAUAUGGACUGUGGACCUCAGGUGAUAGUGGUCUUUCCAUUCUGAUUCAUGAGUUUUCACCAGUGGAGUGUACCAUGAUGGGUGCUGGUGUGUGUGUGGGCUGCCUCUUUGUGGGGGAGAGAGAUCACAUUGGCAAUAUCUGCAUUUCAUACUCAGAGAACCCACAACCACUCUGAAGAAUAAAGCCUAUUUGAAAAUGAAAUGGCUAACUCUUCUUAAAGCCUCUUCUUAUUUCUGGGGGACUUUUCAUAUGCUAGUCAAACACACUAUCACUGCUACGCCCCACCCCUUCCUCUCUUGGUACCAAGUUAUCCCAUUCUCAAAGUGAAAAUAACUUUUCUUUCUAUUGCAAAAAAAGGGUAUGGUUGUUUUAAAGAUAAUUUUAUUGGGGUAAAGUUUGUACCCAUUUUAAAUUCACCAUCUGAUGUGGGGUUUUGGGGUUGUUUUCAGUUUGAUGAGUUUGCACAGUUGAAAUCCCCAUCUGUAACCACAAGCCAGCACACUGAAGAUAAAGAAUAUUCUUACACCCUGAACACUCACCUCCCACUCUACACAGCAGUUUCCAGACUGUAGCCCUGCAAGCUACUGAUUCCUUUUUUCUGCCUUCCUAAGACUGGCGUUGCCUGCUCAAGAAUUCCACAUAAACAGGUUAUGAGGCACAGACUGUUUUUCUGUCUAACUUCUUUUACUUGGUGUAAUGUUUUACAGUUUCCCAUGCUGUUUCCUAUCUUAGCAAUUCCUUCCUUACAGAUGAGGGUUCCACUUGUGGUUAUUUGUGUGUUUAUCCAUUCCCCUCUGACAGGCAUUUGGGCUUUUAGCUUUGAGUUACUGUGAAUGAACCUGCUAUGAAAUUUGAGUAUACUUCCUCAGGAAGACUAUAUCUGCCUUGAGUACACUGCUGAUCCUAUAAUUAUGACCUAUGAGGGGAGUUUUGUACUCAUAUUUAUGAGGACCCCCGGAUUCUUCCAAAGUGACCUCACCACUCUACUUUUUGCUAGUACAGUUGAGAGUUCCAGUUGCUUUGUUUUUCUUUGCACUUGAUAGUGUCCAUGUAUUUAGCUUCUGCCCCCAUGGAAAACAUGGAGAGGUAGUCUCUCUCUCAGUGUGUUUUUGAUUGAUGUUUCCCUGUAGGUUCAUGAUGGUAAGCUUCGUUAAUUGGCUUAUUUCAUGAUAGGAUUUAAAAUGGCAUUGAUGGCUCAGUGGUGGAGAGCACUCUCUGCUCCUCCUAGAGGUCCUGAGUUCAGUUCCCAGCAACUAUAUGGUAGCUUGCAGUGGGAUCCAAUGCUCCUCUCUGGUGUGUCUGAAUACAUAGACUGACAGUGUAUUCAUAUACAAUAAAUAAAAAUAUAAAAGAAAUAAAUCUAAAAUGGCAUUGAAAUCCUUUACCCAUUUGUAGAAGUAGGUUUAUGUUGUUACUGAAUCUUAAGAGUUCAUUAUGCAUUCCAGGCUCAAAUCCUUUGUCUAGUGUGCCACGAUUUUCUGUUCUCACAAGCCACAUCUCAUUUAGGGCUCCCCCCCCCGCCCCGCUCUUUUUGACAGGUUCGUGUGAAUAUUCAAUUUUUUGAAACCCAAUUGUUCUUUUGUUUUCAUUUACAGAUUAUGAAAUGGGCUGACUUGCUGUUGCUAUUGUUAAAGCGAGCACAUUCUUGCUUUAUGAACUCCAAGGCCCUUGUAAGAUAAAAAUUGAGAAGUGGAUAUCUGUUCUCCAGAAGUAAAGAAUUCUGGAUAGGAAUAUUCCCAUGCCUGCUAGAACACUCCCUCAGUCCUGGACACCGCACCCCCGUGUCUCUUGCCUCCUGCUCCAUGUCCAGCUCUUAAAUGGCAUUUUGGCCCCUUGCCUUUGUUUUGUCCUCCAGUUCUGGGAGACCUCCUCGGAGUCUUUCAACCCACUACUCACUACUUGAGAGUGAGAGCUGGUAGGAGCAAGUGGAUGCCGGAUAGAUUUUUGUAUUUUCAUUUUAAUAAGUUAAAUUGCUGGUUACUCUUUAUAGGGUUUUUAAAGCUUUUUUUUAAUUCUUUUUUUGAGAUUGGGUCUCAUAUAGCCCCAGGUUGGUCUCAACAUCAACAGGCAGCCAAGAAUGAACCAGUUUUUAAUGAAGUUAGAAAUACAACUCACGACUUAGUUCUUGUUAGAUAAGUGUCGUACCUAAUGAGCUAAGUUCCCAGUCUCUAUAAAAACUGAAAACAUGGGGCCUAGUGAACGUAUUUCAAAAGAUCACCAGAGGAAACAAAACUCUUUUCAUCUUGUUUUGAGUGUGCCAAGGCUUGACCUCAGGGCCUCAUGGGGGUUAAGCAAAUGCCAGUGAGCUAUACCCCCAACUCUGUUAACUCAUAAACUAUAAGAAAAAUGGGUACCUUUUGAGAUUAUUCAUCUUCAAGAGUGUCAAAUGGGGUCUGGCUGCUGCUUCAUCACAGAAUAGGUGUGUCUAAACGUUUCCAGCCACACUGCUGAUGAUACCAGAGAGACUAGACUUUUAGGAACUGGAAACUGCAUAUCAUUAAUAAGUUCUCUUCAAAUAUCUAGGGUUAAAAAAAAUUCUUUAACUGGGAUGAAGCCUCAAGGGCUCAAAAUGAGAACACUGAGCCAUGAAAAAUAUUAGUAAGUCAAAGAGCUGACACAACUUGGUUGAACUUUUAAUGGAAGUCACUUUAGUGAGGUUUAAGCAAGACCCCCAAAGCCAUCUUACCUCAUAUGUUUUAAAGAAGAUACUUAACUUUUAAAUGUGGUCAAUUUUUAAAAAUCUAAUAGCUUUGAAUUAUAUCCUUUUGGCUGAUUAUACUUGACUGAGUUUUGUUUUGAACCAUCUAGGAGCCAUUUUUGCCCAAUGUUUUUCAAAGUUCAUUACUGCGUCAACUUAAGAAGGCUACUGUGAUCACCAGCUCUGGUUUUCUUGUGACAUGACUGAGUAGGGAGCAAUUAACUCCAACUAAGUGGAGCAGGUCAGAAGCACAGAGAGUCUGCAAUUAGAUAGGCUUAGUGGACACCCGGCUAUGAAACCUGAGAGGGUGUUUCCAAGUGUGUAUCCGUGGGUAGCUUCAGAUGAGUGGUGGGCCCCUAGGAUGAGUGGAAUGGCAGGGACAGGCUUCACACAUCCACAUCUACAUAGUAACAUGGCUUUCUCAAUAUUUCAGAUUAGUUUACCCAUGUCAUCCCAAUAGCCUGAUUUCCAGAACAGGGUUGGAGUAUAUUGGCAAAGAGCAGGGUCAGACAUAAAAUAGAAUAUGGUAUCUCAACAUGCAGCUGGACGGUUGUGUUAGCUACAGUGAAAAUGACCCACUUUUUUGUCAUCUGUGUGUGUGUGUGUGUGUGUGUGUGUGUGUGUGUGUGUGUGUGUGUGUGUUAUGCCAUGCAUGUGGAGGCCAGUGUACAACUUGCCAAAGUUGAUUCUCCCUUUCCACUGUAUGGGGUCCCAGGCUUUUGCACCUGUCACCAAUUCCCAAUUUCUGUUUUAAAUUCAGUCAGAGUGAAAACUAAAAGCAGAGAUCAGCUCUGGACACCAUAUUUUGCCAGGGAGAGCCUAUAGGAAAUAGAAAGAAUUCUGUACCAGUGGAGCACCAGAAUGGGGAAGCCUGACUAGCUCUACCCAGAAUUCUAGGCAGGCCAUCAGGACAGAGAACCAGACACAAAGGGAUCCUUGUCUCUGUAACCUAGGGACCAUGAUCCAGGGAGGCUUUUAACGAGGUUCCUGUUUUCAGUGGUUACUUGCCUAUCUCUUGUCUUGGAGCACAGUGUAGAAAAAAGUCUGCACACUGAAGCCAGAGAACCAUCCUCACACCACAGGCAUACUGGGAAGGAGGAGCACCAUGGCUUAUGUAGCCCAAAAGUCAAAUGGUCACUGAGAUAGAACUUCCUGCCUCCUGUUACAUGUUCCUGCAUAGCUCACCUGUCAGCAUGUUUGAGGGAUAUUUGUUUUCCUUACUUUGUUUUUAUUAUACCUUCUUACUGAGUGGGAGGAGAUUUUCCAAGAUUGCCAGCCAGUCCAGGAACUUAGUUGUAAAGAGUUAGGAAGUAAGGGUGUGGAGAGGGAGGACGGAUGAAAAAAAAAAAAAGCCACCUGGACUGCCAAAGGCACUUGUCACUGUCAUCACAAAGCUGGGGGAACCUCUGUAAACAAUGUGACAUUUCUAUAUUUUGAAGCUGCUGGAAACCUGUCUUACCUGUGAGAUCGCCUCAUCUUGAUAAUGACUGUAAUUGUUGGGUCCUUUGCCAGCCAUGACCUAGCCUUGGUAAUGGUGCUGAAAACAAGCCUGGAGCCAGGCAGUCUGCACUGUGUAAGGGGGCCUCUCAGGCACAGUGCACAUCAGGCAGCUGGAAGGAUGUCAGACAAGUCAGAGGUGUAUGUGGUGUGUCUUCCUCCCAGUGCUUCCUAGUUUCGGUCAGAGGCAAGCACUGCGCACACCAAAGAAGUCUGGUUUUAGGGGACUGCCUGGUGUACAUUACUGUUUGGCAGUACCCGCCCCCCCCCCCAGGAAAAGACUCAUAUCCAUAUAGUAUUACAGAAAAGAAGACUAUACAUAGUACAGGGGAAAACAAUGCUGACUGAGAAUGUAGCUCAGUAGGAUGCAUCUACCAUUCUCAAAGCCCCAGGUGUGGUCCCCCAGGACUUCAUGAAAUUGGUAGUACAAUCCUGUAAGGCUAGAACUCAGGAAGAGAAGUGAUGGGAGGAUCAGUUCAGGUCAUUCUCAGGUAUACAGCAGGUAGCCAGGAUAGCCACUCCAGAUCCUGUGUCAAAAAGCCCUUAAGAAGAUACCUCAUUUCUAGGAUGUGAGUCUUUCCACAACAGUGGUGAGGGGGUUGGGAGUAGGGUGACAGAGCCAAGUGAUUACUUGACAGAGGCAAAAGCCAGAUGGACAAAUACUAAUUUAUAAUGAGUUUACAAAGGAAGUAAAACUUUUAAAUUAUCAGAACUAAUCUAGUGUUUGUAUGUCAUCCCUGGGGAAGCAGGGGCAGCAGGAGUUUAAGGACAUUGUCGAUUACGUAGCCAGUUCAAGGCUGGGCUGGGCUAUAGGAGAUGAUGUUUCAAGAGACCAAAAACCAGACAGACAGACAGACAGACAGACAGAUAGACAGACAGACAAAAAGUGUUCUUGAGAGUAGAUAUUGCCAACUAACUGUACAAUACCCAACUUCAUAUUUUCUAAGACCUACAGUCCUGAAUACACUAAGGCUGCCCAGCUAACCACAAUGCAGUGUGUGAAACUUAACCCCAGUAAUAUCCCAGUAGAGGGUAGGUUGGUUGCCAUAGAGACCCCACGGAUAGCCCUGUUUCUAGAUCUGGCCUAGUGUUGUAGACUUGGGAGCCCCUCAGGGCAAACAGCGAGUGAACUAAGGAGUCAUCUGCUAUUACCUGUGGAGAGUGAAUGGAAUGAGAAUAGAAGUAAAAGGACUAAGUGAGGACAAGAGACCGGGCAGGAAGAGGAACUGGAAAAAGCCAGAAACCCAUACUCUCAACUGUCAGGCCAGUGAAGAGCCAUAAAGAAGACAGCAGUCUGUUUGGACAGUAGUCCUGUCCUCCACAAUGUGGAGGCAUAAGGAGAGAGAGAGGCAAUCCUUGCUGGGGGAAGAGAACACCACAGCUCCUGCCCUGUGUCUGGGACUGACUCAGUGAUCCUCUGAGCCUCCGCUCUCUGUCCUGAGGGGGCUGGGGUGACACAGGGAAGCUGGGGACACCUGCUGUCUGCCUUAAGAUAACAGAUUCAGUUCUGGGAUAGUGUUGCUUCUGUACGGUAUAAACAGGCAGUGGCUUCUCAGAACUCUGGCAAUGCUUCCUUUGCUGUCUUCCCCCUGACCAGUCACUCCAACCUGAGUCACCCUCAGCUUUGGUCUGAUACCUUGAGGAUGUGGACUCACAAGUAAAUCGUUCAAAUACCUGGCAUCUGCAUUUCAUGUAACUGUACCUCACUAAGUUAAACAUUUUUUGGAGGGCAAUACGAGGGCUCAGCAGGUAAAACUGCUUGCCUUACAAGCCUGAUGAUCUGAGUUCUACUCUCAGAACGCACAUAAAGGUGGGAGGGGAGAACUAACUCCCACAUUUUAUAGUCUCACCUCCAUGUGUGCACUGUGGUACUGGUAAGCUUUACUUAUAGACACACACACACACAAUCACAAUAAAUAACUUUUUGAUUUAUUACAAUUAUUCUUAGCAUGUAAAGUAAUAUAAAUAUGUUUAAACCUUACUUUAAAAUGUAUAUUUAUUGGAAAUACAUCUCUAAAGGAGAUAGGUGGAGAAAUAAAAGUUAUUAAUUUUUAUUUACUUAUAUGUCCAUGGCUAAAGGUUUUAAUUUCUUUUGCUAGGGUUUGGCAUAAAUUCUCAUUUUCUUUUGCUUUGGCACCCAGAAAAUUCCAUGCCAUUAAGUGAAGAUACCAAGAUCUUCACAGGAAAAGGAAACUGGUUACUCAGCUUUUUACACAGUGGUUCAUUCACAGACAAAUAACAAUUUAUACAUGCAGGGCUGAUAGAACACUAAAGUGUCCAGACUGGAAUGGAAAUUGUAGGUGUUAACAAAGAGACUGGAGGUGAUGAUUGUGUGUAAAAGCUGGCAGAUGACAAGGAUGCUUCAAAGUAUGUUUAGGCCCAUGGGAGUUCAUGCCAGGCUUGGUAACGAAACAGUCUCGAUUCCCUGGUACAUAAAGGAUGUUCUUCCCUGAAGAGUGUUUGCAGUUUGAAGAAGAAAAAGUUCAUGAUAUUUUCAGGAAAAUGCAUAGAACUAUAGCCUAUCAAGGUAAGCAAAAGAAGCCAGACUCAGAAAGAAAAGUGCUUAUCACCCUGUACAAAGCUUAAGUCCAAGUGGAUCAAGGACCUCCACAUCAAACCAGAUACACUCAAACUAAUAGAAGAAAAAGUGGGGAUGCAUCUCGAACACAUGGGCACUGGAGAAAAUUUCCUGAACAAAACACCAAUGGCUUAUGCUUUAAGAUCAAGAAUCGACAAAUGGGAUCUUUUAAAACUGCAAAGCUUCUGUAAGGCAAAGGACACUGUGGUUAGGACAAAACGGCAACCAACAGAUUGGGAAAAGAUCUUUACCAAUCCUACAACAGAUAGAGGGCUCAUAUCCAAAAUAUACAAAGAACUCAAGAAGUUAGACCGCAGGGAGACAAAUAACCCUAUUAAAAAUGGGGUUCAGAGCUAAACAAAGAAUUCACAGCUGAGGAAUGCCGAAUGGCUGAGAAACACCUAAAGAAAUGUUCAACAUCUUUAGUCAUAAGGGAAAUGCAAAUCAAAACAGCCCUGAGAUUUCACCUCACAACAGUGAGAAUGGCUAAGAUCAAAAACUGAGGUGACAGCAGAUGAUGGCGAGGAUGCGGAGAAAGAGGAACACUCCACCAUUGUUGGUGGGAUUGCAGACUGGUACAACCAUUCUGGAAAUCAGUCUGGAGGUUCCUCAGAAAAUUGGACAUUGAACUACCUGAGGACCCAGCUAUACCUCUCUUGGGCAUAUACACAAAAGAUGCCCCAACAUAUAACAAAGACACGUGCUCCACUAUGUUCAUAGCAGCCUUAUUUAUAAUAGCCAGAAGCUGGAAAGAACCCAGAUGCCCUUCAACAGAAGAAUGGAUACAGAAAAUGUGGUACAUCUACACAAUGGAAUAUUACUCAGCUAUCAAAAACAAUGACAUUAUGAAAUUCAUAGGCAAAUGGAUGGAACUGGAAAAUAUCAUUCUGAGUGAGGUCACCCAAUCACAGAAAAACACACAUGGUAUGCACUCAUUGAUAAGUGGAUGUUAGCCCAAAUGCUUGAAUUACCCUAAAUGCACAGAACAUAUGAAACUCAAGGAUGACCAAAAUGCGAAUGCUUCACUCCUUCUUUAAAAGGGGAACAAGAAUACCCUUGGGAGGGAAUAGGGAGGCAAAGUUUAGAACAGAGGCAGAAGGAAGACCCAUUCACAGCCUGCCCCACAUGUGGCCCAUACAUUUACAGCCACCAUACUAGAUAAGAUGGAUGAAGCAAAGAAGUGCAGGCUGAGAGGAACUAGAUGUAGAGCGCUCCUGAGAGACACAGCCAGAAUACAGCAAAUACAUAGGCGAAUGCCAUCAUUAAACCAUUGAACUAAGAACGGGCCCCCCAUUGAAAGAAUCUUAGAAAGGACUGAAAGAGCUUGAAGGGGCUUGAGACUCCAUAUGAACAACAAUGCCAAGCAACCAGAGCUUCCAGGGACUUAGCCACUACCCAAAGACUAUACAUGGACUGACCCUGGACUCCAACCUCAUAGGUAGCAAUGAAUAGCCUAGUAAGAGCACCAGUGGAAGGGGAAGCCCUUGGUCCUGCCAUGACUGAACCCCCAGUGAACGUGAUUGUUGGGGGGAGGGCUGUAGUGGGAGGAUGAUGGGAGGGGAACACUCAUAGAGAAGGAGAGGAGGAGGGGUUAGGGGGAUGUUGGCCUGGAAACCGGGAAAGGGAAUAACAAUCGAAAUGUAAAUAAGAAAUACCCAAGUUAAUAAAGAUGGAAAAAAAAAGAAAAGUGUCAUUUAUUUCACUCAUGUGGAAUCAAGGUGGGGGGAGAGUAGCACGGAGGGAAAAGAGGAGCAGAAGGGAAACAGGGAAAUGAGAAAAGAGAGGAUACUGAGGUGGGCUAUAGUUGACAUACAUUAAUGCAUAUACGAGGUUGUCAGAGUGAAAUCCCAUUAUUUUUCCAAUUAAUAUACACAAAUAAAAACCACAGAAAAAGAGAGACUUGUUUAGCUCCCUGUGGGAGGAAGGCAGGCCAAGUGGCCUUUUCUGAGGUUAGUUCUUCCAGUAAUUGCUGCUCAAGGUAAGUUUUACAACAGGGAUGCAUGUCUUUUUUCUCUGACUCUUCGGAGUGGUUCUCUGCAUUCUAGGAAUUUUAUACUUAAUCUUUUGAGGAAUUGCCAAGGUUUCUCAUGGGAGGUACAUCAGUUUACAUUUCUACCUGUAAUGCACACAGACUCUCAUCUCUCCACCUCCUCACACUCUGAAUUAAUCGUAGGAUGAGAUAGUCAUGGCUUCAUAGGCCCAUUUAUUUGAAUGCUUGGUGGAACUAAGCAUUCCCUAGUUAGUGGAACUGUUUGUCAAGGAUCACAAGGUGUGGCCUGUUGGAAGAAGUAUGUCCCCAGAGGUAGGUUCUGAGGUUUCAAAAGCUCACUCCAUCCCUAAUGGAUUGAGAUGUGAGCUCUCAGCUACUGCUCCAGCAUCAUGUCUGUCUGCCUGCUGCCAUGUUCCCCAACGUAACGAUUACGGACUCUAGCCCUGUGGAGCUAUGAGCACCAAAUGAAAUGCUUUCUUUCAUAGUUUGCCCUGGUUAUGGUGUUUUAUCACAGCCAUAAAAAGGAACUAAGAUGAAGGUGAAGAGGAGACAGAGAGUAUGAAGAAGAAGACACAGAAGGGACUGGAGAGAAGGGAGAGGAGAAAAGGGGCCAAUUCCCCACUUUGAUUACUGAUUUUCCCAUAAAAGUCUUGACCUAUUCCUGUGGACUGUGCACUUUGAAAGAAUUCUCUCUUAAAGUUGUGUCUUUCAGUAUUAUGAAAUGGAGCUGAAGACGUGUGAUUUGUAAAGAUAGGCAGACUACAGCAGUGUGGUGUAUUGCAUGUGCUUUAUGCUUUCAUGAAACCAUAGUAUCUCAACAAAUUGCCAUGUAUCCCCAAAGAAGCAGGCUUGGGUAUGACUGUGUGUACUGUGCGUGACAGACAGGAUGGUGAAUCCUUAUUUGUAUAGUUAUUUUUAUAUAAUGACCUUUAAAUGCAAAUAGCAUCAUUAAAAAUAUUUUUGCAAGGAUUGUGUUCGAAAAAAUGCUGAGAAGGAAAAAUCACACUCAUUUCUGCAGAUGAAGACAUUAUAUGCAGUUAUAAUUAGGGUGUACACAAUUGCGUUUUCAUUGUUAUAUCUUCCAUGUUUCCUCCCGUGGUCCAGGUUGACAUUUCUAAUGCUUACAGAAUAAUCUAAUGAAGAGUAGUUUACCUAACCAGUUCUCAACUGUUGACAUUUGAUCUGAUUCUCCUUUUAUCCCUGUUAGAACAAUUCUUUGAUGAAACGUUUGAGUACAGCAUGUUUGUUCCUUCCUAUGCUCCCUCCCUUCUCCCUCUCUUUCUCUGUCUUCCCUCCCUUUAUUUCUACUGGUUCUGAGGGUUGUGUUUCAUGUGGGUUUAUGAGAUGUGAGGAAAUUUGCACUGCUCAUGUGUGUUGGAAUGAAUGCUUACAAAAACAGGUUGUAACGAUGGGAUAGUGUCACAGCCUUAGCAUUCCAAUACUAAUAUCACUUUUAAUCAACUUAAAACAACAAGGGUGAUUAAAAGCAGUGGUUUAUGGAAAUGUGUUUAAUUGCUCAUGAUAAGCCUUCCCCACUUACCUGCUGGUGAUUAUGUUUCUCUUUUUAGUGGCCUUCCCUCUUAAACUCUUACGGGCUUGAUUUCCUUUGGAGGGGCUUGAUUACAUUUUGGUGGACUGUUUCAUGUUAAAUUGCUUUCUUAGUCUAUGGUUAUUUUAGUUUUUGAUAAAUUUUAAAACAGAAUCCCCAUAUUCAUAAUAGCUUUUUCUGUGGUCUAUUUUUAAAAUUUUUAUUUAUUUAUUUAUUAUUUUUUAUUUUGCAGGAUGCCUGGCUUGUUAUGUGGGUGAUGGGAUCUCAGCUUUGGUCUUCAUAAUUGCAUAGCAAAGGAUUCUUAAUUGCCUCCAUCUCUCCAUACCUUUAUUUCAGUUUUUUUUUAAAUCACAGUUAGGCUGGCCUCAAAUUUAUGUUAAUCCUCCUGCCUUAGAGUACCAAGUUUUGAACUUAAAGGCAUGAACCACUAUGCUCAUCUUUGAAAGUAAUUUCUGGCAGAGACAGUUUAUAGUUAUUAAUGGUAAACUUAAUUAUAGUAUAAUUCUUCUCAUUAUUUAUUACUACUAUUCUUGCAGCACUGGGGAAUCAAUCCAAUGACCUUGCAUAUACUAGGCAAGUACAUGCACCUGUUUAGGUUAUCACUUUAUAAAACUAUAUCUAGUCUUUAAAACAAUGAAUUGCAGUAGGAAGAAACAUUUUCUAUUUUUCUCCAUAGGCUCGAAUAUAAUGGUUUCAUCUGGAUUUUCACAGAAUCCUCAUACUUCUUGAUACCUUAUAAAUGAAAUAUAUAUUUUCAUAUUUAGAAAAAAAUAUAGAGAUCUUGCUCUCUAAGUUUUGCUUGCUGUCCAAUGGCCAGUUAUUUGUAGGCCUCAAACUACUGAAAUGUGAUUAGUCUGAAUAGAUAGAUGGAAAUAUUAAACAUUCACUGUGUUUUGAAGAUCUGGUAUGCAAACAAAAUUGACUAUGUCACUGCUGAUUUUAUACUGUUUAUAUACUAAAUAAUAUUUUGGAUAUAUUAGAUAUGCAUUGAAUUAGAUAUAAAACUAUUUUUUGCCUUAAAAAACAUAAUGAUGCUAAGAAGUUAAAACUAUGCGUACCUCAAAUAAGUCUUUUUCAUGUAAUUUUGCCCCAAAUGAGUCUAGAAUAAUCAUGAAGACAGCAAAAUCCCAUGGGGAAAAGAGCGAACCACCCAGUAGUGCAGACAUCCCGAGGUUGCAGGACAGACUGCCACCUCUGCACACCUCAGCUGACAUCCCUGGUCCAAGGGGAAACUGCGCAGUGCCUCUGGACAGAGGGAUAUAGGAACAGACAGCCACCAGUACCUGCAGUUCUGGUCUGUGCCCAGGACAGAACUGAUCCGGCCAAACAGCUCCCUGCACCCAAAUCCCAUGGGGGAAGAGAGCAGAACCUCAGAAGUAUGGAUACCCCUGAGAAGUCAGAGGAGAAUACCCUCUGCCCAUAGUCCAGACUGAAGAGGGAAUUGCAUAGUGCCAACUGUGCCCAUUGGGUGCAAGGACCUACAUGAGCAAUCAGGGACAGGAACCUUUGAUUCCUGCCCACGCCGAGAGCUGGAAGACAGUCUCCAGGAGUGCCACCACAGCUGAGAGCAGAGUACCUGUUCUCAGGAAAGGCUGAAAGAAAACAGGAAAACAGUUCUACAGGAGUACUGACACAGAGGCCUACAGCAGGGCCAAGUCACUCCCAGAAACAGCAAGACAAGCAUACAUUAGAGAAAACCCAAUGGCUAGAGGCAAGUACAGGACCUAAUCAACAGAAACCAAGACUACUUGGCAUCAUCAGAACCCAGAUCUCCCAACAAAGAAAAUAUUGGAUAUGCAGACACACCAGAAAAGCAAGAUUUAGAUUUGAAAUCACAUUUUUUGAUAAUGAUGGAGGACUUUAAGAAAGACAUAAAGAACUCCCUUAGAGAAAUGCAGGAAAGCACAAGUAAACAAGUUGAAGCCCUUAGAGAGGAAACACAAAAAUCCCUGAAAGAAUUACAGGAAAACAAAACCAAA